rnacentral:rRNA from 1 species
GUGGGGAAUAUUGGACAAUGGGCGCAAGCCUGAUCCAGCAAUGCCGCGUGGGUGAAGAAGGUCUUCGGAUCGUAAAGCCCUUUCGACAGGGACGAUGAUGACGGUACCUGUAGAAGAAGCCCCGGCUAACUUCGUGCCAGCAGCCGCGGUAAUACGAAGGGGGCUAGCGUUACUUGGAAUUACUGGGCGUAAAGGGCGCGUAGGCGGCUCUGUUAGUCAGGCGUGAAAUUCCUGGGCUUAACCUGGGGACUGCGCUUGAUACUGCAGGGCUUGAGGCCGAGAGAGGGUGGUGGAAUUCCCAGUGUAGAGGUGAAAUUCGUAGAUAUUGGGAAGAACACCGGUGGCGAAGGCGACCACCUGGCUCGGUUCUGACGCUGAGGCGCGACAGCGUGGGGAGCAAACAGGAUUAGAAACCCCUGUAGUCC